rnacentral:rRNA from 1 species
CCUACGGGUGGCAGCAGUGAGGAAUAUUGGUCAAUGGACGAGAGUCUGAACCAGCCAAGUAGCGUGAAGGAUGACUGCCCUAUGGGUUGUAAACUUCUUUUAUAUGGGAAUAAAAUGUUCCACGUGUGGGAUUUUGUAUGUACCAUAUGAAUAAGGAUCGGCUAACUCCGUGCCAGCAGCCGCGGUAAUACGGAGGCUCCGAGCGUUAUCCGGAUUUAUUGGGUUUAAAGGGAGCGUAGGUGGAUUGUUAAGUCAGUUGUGAAAGUUUGCGGCUCAACCGUAAAAUGGCAGUUGAAACUGGCAGUGGUGAGUACAGUAGAGGUGGGCGGAAUUCGUGGUGUAGCGGUGAAAUGCUUAGAUAUCACGAAGAACUCCGAUUGCGAAGGCAGCUCACUGGACUGCAACUGACACUGAGGCUCGAAAGUGUGGGUAUCAAACAGGAUUAGAUACCCCUGUAGUC